UACGAACCGUCCAAACGUUAUUCGGAUUUAUUGGGCUUAAAGGGUAUGUAGGCGGCCCUUCAAGUCGGGUGUGAAAGCCCUCGGCUCAACCGAGGAACUGCGCCCGAUACUGCAGGGCUUGAGGGAGACAGAGGUAAGCGGAACUGAUGGUGGAGCGGUGAAAUGCGUAGAUAUCAGGAGGAACACCUGUGGCGAAGGCGGCCCUCUGGACGGAUACUGACGCUGAGACGCGAAAGCGUGGGGAGCAAACAGG
rnacentral:rRNA from 1 species